AGUUCCAAUGAAGAUGAAUGAUUUUUUCUCCUUCCAAAGACAAUUUGGAGGACUGUUUCCAGAGGACCGUGCCCUCUUACUGAUGGUGACCCAUGGUUAACAGGAUCUGAGAUUUGCCACAUGUGUGCCAGUGGCGGUGCAUGCCGUCCAAGCUCGAGUUCAUAGCCAAGGGAAGGCUAAAUGAGGAAACUGAGAGAGGCCCAGGAAGAUGAAGAGAUUCCACUCUGAUCAACCCAUGGGAGUGUGUUGGGAGAAUAUAAGUUGAUUAAGAUGCUGACUCCUUGGUAUUUCCUGCUGAAGUGUUUGUUGGGUGGAGUUCCCUUUGGAAGCUCCAGAGUUUUCCUGUUUGUGUCAUUGAAUGAAAGAACCUUAAAUAAACUUGCUUGUUAUGCUUUCUCCUUUUA